GAAUCUUGGUUACUCGAAUUUUACAGUACAUUGAAAUACUUUGUAUAAUAUCAAUUAACAUCUAUUUAACAAUGAGUAUCCUUCCAGAAUUAGUUUAAACAACCAUUGGAAUGAAAAACAUUGACAUCAAUAACUUAAUGUGGGUGAACAUGCAGGUGAUCAAAGGCACCCCGGAACACGAAAACGGACUUCAACCUGAAAUCAUUUUUUGAAAAAAUAGCUGUAAACGGACAAUUUUAGGUAAAACCAUCCAAUCUUGUUCUCCAUACAUCAGUACAUGGUUUAAAAAUAUUAAACUUGAAAAAAAAUGUGUUGCGUCUAAAAAUAUGUAAUGAUUACUUCGAAAAGUGAUCAAUGUAACGCCGGUUUACGGUAUUGGACAAACGAACAUCGAAGUGAAAUAAUCUCAACAUUUUUUUCGUUCGGUGCGGUUCUGCUUUUUGUUUGCGCAAUUUUGUAGCAGUAUAUUUCGAUCGCAGAACGUGUGCUCUGCCUUGGUGGUGACUGGGUUGUAGAUUGUAAAUCUGCCCAAGUCUUAUGAUAACGAGGUUUUACACUGAUCAGCUGUAGUAUCUCUCCAGUGAAUAUCACAGUGAAACAAGGUGCAAUUUUUUUUUUUGGAAAGCGACAACAAACACUGCAAAUCUAUUCAUCAAGCGGUUUUGGUAAGUCGUGUGCAUGAACUGUAUUUGACACAGCUAUUGUUUUACUUGAGACAGGAAAUCAGAUAAGUUUCUUCAUUCAAUAUGCAGUCGUGAUUCGCUGGCUGGACACUUUUUAACUGGACCACUUUUUAGUUGGACCUCCGCUAGUUGGACCGUUGUCCAACUAAAAGCAUCUGAACGUCAAAAUCUCAUGUCAAAUUGACUUUGACAAUCUAUCUAAUAAUCUUUUACACUACUAAUGUCUUCUUUGGAGUUUUGCCUUUCUUAUAUAGAAAGGUUAUGCAAUCACUCUGAAAAACGUCAACCUAAUCCCGGCCCGGAGGGCCGAGUGUCAUAUCCCAUUCGACUCAGUUCGUCGAGAUCGGAAAAAGUCUGUAUGUGUGUGUGUAUGUAUGUAUGUGUGUGUAUGUGUGUGUAUGUGUGUGUGUAUGUAUGUGCGUAUGUGUCAAAUAAUGUCACUCAUUUUUCUCAGAGAUGGCUAGACCGAUUUGCCCAAACUUAGUCUCAAAUGAAAGGUGCAACCUUCCCAUCGGCUGCUAUUGAAUUUUGGAUCGAUCGGAAUUCUGGUUCCGGAAUUACGGGUUCCAGAGUGCGGCCACACAGAAAUUUCUCAUAUAAACUAUAGGAAAAAUUAAAAAUAGAAUUUUUAUUUUUGAUGCUAAAUGUGUUCAAGGUGCAUGAAACGUCGAGAUUUGAUGCAAACUGGAAAAAAAAUUUGACGACGAUUCACUUUUUUGGAUUUUGGCACAUUUUUGCCUUUCUCAUAUAGAAAGGUUAUGCAAUCACUCUUAAAAACGUCAACCUAAUCCCGGCAAAUUUUUUUUCGACUCGCAUAAGGUUUCUGGAUUUUAACAGGGGCGUAGUUGAUGGUUUACGGAGAGGGGUUACACCCCCCCCCCUCUACUGUUCACUCCCCUCCUUUAAAAAUCUUUUUAAAUCACCCCUCAGACCACCACCCCAUCCAGCCCUCAUACCCCUCCCUUUCAACCCCAUCAUCUUUAAACCACCACUGUAUCACAAAGCAUACCAAUUUAAGCUGGGGAGUCGUUCGUUCAUGGGACUUUCGCCCUCCUCACAUACCCACCCCCGCAUGACAAAAUAUGAUAUUUUUUGUUUCAAGUGUUUCACCGUCGUAACGUAGCUCAUCAAUUUCGUGGCUGGCAUGCCAUUGUAUAUAAGUGCAAAGUGUACUAAGAAUGUAAUAGAC